rnacentral:rRNA from 1 species
UACAGAGGGUGCGAGCGUUAAUCGGAAUUACUGGGCGUAAAGCGCGCGUAGGCGGCUUUUCAAGUCGAUUGUGAAAUCCCCGGGCUUAACCUGGGAACUGCAGUCGAGACUGUCUAGCUAGAGUAUGGGAGAGGGAAGUGGAAUUUCAGGUGUAGCGGUGGAAUGCGUAGAUAUCUGAAGGAACAUCAGUGGCGAAAGCGACUUCCUGGACCAAUACUGACGCUCAUGUGCGAAAGCGUGGGGAGCAAACAGG